rnacentral:rRNA from 1 species
CCCCAGACUCCUACGGGAGGCAGCAGUGGGGGAUAUUGCACAAUGGGGGAAACCCUGAUGCAGCGAUGCCGCGUGAAUGAAGACGGCCUUCGGGUUGUAAAGUUCUGUCGCAGGGGACGAAAAUGACGGUACCCUGCAAGAAAGCUCCGGCUAACUACGUGCCAGCAGCCGCGGUAAUACGUAGGGAGCAAGCGUUGUCCGGAAUUACUGGGCGUAAAGGGAGUGUAGGCGGUUUAGUAAGAUAGUGGUGAAAUCCCAGAGCUUAACUUUGGAAUUGCCAUUAUAACUAUUAGACUAGAAUUACAGAGAGGAUAGUGGAAUACCCAGUGUAGAGGUGAAAUUCGUAGAUAUUGGGUAGAACACCAGUGGCGAAGGCGACUAUCUGGCUGUACAUUGACGCUGAGGCUCGAAAGCAUGGGGAUCAAACAGGAUUAGAUACCCGCGUA